rnacentral:rRNA from 1 species
UACGUAGGUGGCAAGCGUUGUCCGGAUUUACUGGGCGUAAAGAGCGCGCAGGCGGUCGGAUAAGUCGAAUGUGAAAGCCCCCGGCUUAACUGGGGAGGGUCAUUCGAUACUGUUCGACUGGAAGGCAGGAGAGGGAAGCGGAAUUCCCGGUGUAGUGGUGAAAUGCGCAGAUAUCAGGAGGAACACCGGUGGCGAAGGCGGUUCUCUGGGCCUGUACUGACGCUGAGGAGCGAAAGCGUGGGGAGCGAACAGG